AGUGAACGCUGGCGGUAGGCCUAACACAUGCAAGUCGAACGGCAGCACAGUAAGAGCUUGCUCUUACGGGUGGCGAGUGGCGGACGGGUGGGGAAUACAUCGGAAUCUACUUUUUCGUGGGGGAUAACGUAGGGAAACUUAUGCUAAUACCGCAUACGACCUACGGGUGAAAGCAGGGGAUCUUCGGACCUUGCGCGAUUGAAUGAGCCGAUGUCGGAUUAGCUAGUUGGCGGGGUAAAGGCCCACCAAGGCGACGAUCCGUAGCUGGUCUGAGAGGAUGAUCAGCCACACUGGAACUGAGACACGGUCCAGACUCCUACGGGAGGCAGCAGUGGGGAAUAUUGGACAAUGGGCGCAAGCCUGAUCCAGCCAUACCGCGUGGGUGAAGAAGGCCUUCGGGUUGUAAAGCCCUUUUGUUGGGAAAGAAAAGCAGCAGGUUAAUACCCCGCUGUUCUGACGGUACCCAAAGAAUAAGCGCCGGCUAACUUCGUG
rnacentral:rRNA from 1 species